CUUGCUGGGUGGAUUAGUGGCGAACGGGUGAGUAACACGUGAGUAACCUGCCCCUGACUUCGGGAUAAGCGCUGGAAACGGCGUCUAAUACCGGAUAUGAGCUUCCCUCGCAUGGGGGUUGUUGGAAAGUUUUUCGGUUGGGGAUGGGCUCGCGGCCUAUCAGCUUGUUGGUGGGGUGAUGGCCUACCAAGGCGACGACGGGUAGCCGGCCUGAGAGGGCGACCGGCCACACUGGGACUGAGACACGGCCCAGACUCCUACGGGAGGCAGCAGUGGGGAAUAUUGCACAAUGGGCGCAAGCCUGAUGCAGCGACGCCGCGUGAGGGAUGACGGCCUUCGGGUUGUAAACCUCUUUCAGCAGGGAAGAAGCGCAAGUGACGGUACCUGCAGAAGAAGCGCCGGCUAACUACGUGCCAGCAGCCGCGGUAAUACGUAGGGCGCAAGCGUUGUCCGGAAUUAUUGGGCGUAAAGAGCUCGUAGGCGGUCUGUCGCGUCUGGUGUGAAAACUCGAGGCUCAACCUCGAGCUUGCAUCGGGUACGGGCAGACUAGAGUGCGGUAGGGGAGACUGGAAUUCCUGGUGUAGCGGUGGAAUGCGCAGAUAUCAGGAGGAACACCGAUGGCGAAGGCAGGUCUCUGGGCCGCAACUGACGCUGAGGAGCGAAAGCAUGGGGAGCGAACAGGAUUAGAUACCCUGGUAGUCCAUGCCGUAAACGUUGGGCACUAGGUGUGGGGCUCAUUCCACGAGUUCCGUGCCGC
rnacentral:rRNA from 1 species